rnacentral:rRNA from 1 species
CAGCCGCCGCGGUAAUACGUAGGGUGCGAGCGUUAAUCGGAUUUACUGGGCGUAAAGCGUGCGCAGGCGGCCCGUUAAGACAGGUGUGAAAUCCCUGGGCUCAACCUAGGAAUUGCGCUUGUGACUGGCGGGCUCGAGUACGGUAGAGGGGGGUGGAAUUCCUGGUGUAGCGGUGAAAUGCGUAGAGAUCAGGAGGAACACCGAUGGCGAAGGCAGCCCCCUGGGCCUGUACUGACGCUCAUGCACGAAAGCGUGGGGAGCAAACAGGAUUAGAUACCCUGGUAGUCCACGCCCUAAACGAUGGGUACUAGCCGUUUGGUGCGCGAUAGCGCUGAGUGGCGAAGCUAACGCGUGAAGUACCCCGCCUGGGGAGUACGGCCGCAAGGUUGAAACUUAAAGGAAUUGGCGGG